rnacentral:misc_RNA from 1 species
UCGUUGCCUCUCGAAGAACACGACCGUUGCACACGUGACAGAAUGCUGUCGGGGAGGUGUUUGCUGCCUCCUCGGCCCCACCGGCCUCGUCCCUCACUGCAUAUGAUGCUGCGUUGGACGUUGGUUGGAAUACGGCGCGGGAUGACGCCAAGGAACACGAUAAAGCUAAGGCACCGGCCAGUCGCUCGAGGGCUUGCGUCGGGUGCUGAGGCAUUGAAUA